CCCUUAGAUGUCCUGGGCUGCACGCGCGCUACACUGAUGUGUCCAGUAAGCACCUAACCUCUUCCGAAAGGAACGGGUAACCUUUGCAAAGCACAUCGUGAUGGGGAUAGAUUAUUGCAAUUAUUAGUCUUGAACGAGGAAUUCCUAGUAGGCACAAGUCAUCAGCUUGUGUUGAUUACGUCCCUGCCCUUUGUACACACCGCCCGUCGCUCCUACCGAUUGAAUGUUCCGGUGAGCUCUUCGGACUGCGCGGUCUGCAGUUUCUGCGUUCCGUGCGGAAAGUUGCGCAAACCUUAACAUUUAGAGGAAGGAGAAGUCGUAACA
rnacentral:rRNA from 1 species